GCAAGACAGUGGAGCCCGUUGGACUUUCACAGUAAUAAACACAACCAUAUGUUACAACUAAAAAUGUGUGUUGCUACACAACGCAUGCAAAUAAAACAUUUCAACGGUCACAUGUACGUCUCUGUGUUAAAGUGGGUCUAGUCCAGGUGUGUCUAGUCCAGGUGUGUCUCUGUGUUACAGUGUGUCUA